UGAAGACACAGCAACACAGUAUUUCUGGACUCCAAAGAUGCAGCCCAUUCUGUGCAUACUUCUAGCGUUACUCGCAUCAUCGACUGCUCUUUACAGAGGAUAUGAAGACAGGAACCUUAUUGAAAGAGACGAACCAAACAUUUCUGACGGGUACCUACGCUAGAAAAGUCUUAUAAAUGUUCAAUGUUAUCUCUGGGAGACAGCCGUUGUAUGCAUUUAUAGACAUCCAAAAAAUAAUUGCCUGUAUUAAAUAUGAGUAGUAAAACUUGCUAUAAAUUAUUUAUUUAUUCAAAUUAAUUUUGGCUUUGCAUGUUGUUGUUUUUAUUUUAUUAGUUUCACAUAUUAUUUUAUUGUUCGCAAAUAUAAGUUCUAGCGAAAUUAUGUUGGAGUUAUACAAGAUACAAUUAAUGUGGAACAGCUGAAGCUACGCAAGGGCAUAAGGACGCGGACUCUUGUAGAAUGUCCCGUCUGUGAGAACACAUCAUGGCUGCCAAGUCGCGAACAGUGUAACAUAGUCAAAGGAAAUAAGAGAUAUAAAAAAUGUGAGAGAGGCACGUACGUCAACGAAGUUUGUGGUAAUCGUCUC